GCUAUGCCCAGCUAAUCCAACAAUGACUGGCUGUGAAUGGAAAGUCCAAGAAUCCUGUAGUCACUCAGACCAUGAGGCUGGAUGUCUCACUUUGUCUCCCUAGAAUUCCAAAGAGGCUUCCAGCAGAAGAUGUGGCCAAGAUUAGAUCUGGGUUAAACAUCUGGAUUAAAGGUGUGUCUUCCUACUGCAAAGAUCCAGAUUAGAAGUAGAUCUCCCUACUUCACAUUAAGCAGGAAUCCUCCCAGAUCAGCAUCAUGGCUUCCUGCCUGCCACCAUGCUUUCUGUCAUGGUGAUCAUGGACUAACCCUCUGAAACUGCUCCACAGCGGGAUGGGAGAAGAAUGAAUGGGAAGUAGAGCAAUCAGAAGGUAUUACCCAGGAGAAAGCUGGAGGUAAGCAUUGCCAACUCUUCCAGACAGUUCUACAGUGUCACACAAGUCUCUCAGGACCUGGGGACAACCCGUGAAUGCUGUCCUGAUCAUCAGUGACGAAACC